UACGGAGGAUCCAAGCGUUAUCCGGAUUUAUUGGGUUUAAAGGGAGCGUAGGCGGCCUGUUAAGUCAGAGGUGAAAGACGGUAGCUCAACUAUCGCAGUGCCUUUGAUACUGAUGGGCUUGAAUAAACUUGAGGUAGGCGGAAUGUGACAAGUAGCGGUGAAAUGCAUAGAUAUGUCACAGAACACCAAUUGCGAAGGCAGCUUACUAAGGUUUAAUUGACGCUGAGGCUCGAAAGCGUGGGGAUCAAACAGG
rnacentral:rRNA from 1 species